UUAAGCGACUAAGCGUACACGGUGGAUGCCCUGGCAGUCAGAGGCGAUGAAGGACGUGCUAAUCUGCGAAAAGCGUCGGUAAGGUGAUAUGAACCGUUAUAACCGGCGAUGUCCGAAUGGGGAAACCCAGUGUGAUUCGUCACACUAUCGUUAACUGAAUACAUAGGUUAACGAGGCGAACCGGGGGAACUGAAACAUCUAAGUACCCCGAGGAAAAGAAAUCAACCGAGAUUCCCCCAGUAGCGGCGAGCGAACGGGGAGCAGCCCAGAGUCUGAAUCAGCUUGUGUGUUAGUGGAACGGUCUGGAAAGUCCGACGGUACAGGGUGAUAGUCCCGUACACCAAAAUGCACAGGUUGUGAACUCGAAGAGUAGGGCGGGACACGUGGUAUCCUGUCUGAAUAUGGGGGGACCAUCCUCCAAGGCUAAAUACUCCUGACUGACCGAUAGUGAACCAGUACCGUGAGGGAAAGGCGAAAAGAACCCCGGCGAGGGGAGUGAAAAAGAACCUGAAACCGUGUACGUACAAGCAGUGGGAGCACCUUCGGGUGUGACUGCGUACCUUUUGUAUAAUGGGUCAGCGACUUAUAUUCUGUAGCAAGGUUAACCGUAUAGGGGAGCCGCAGGGAAACCGAGUCUUAACUGGGCGUUAAGUUGCAGGGUAUAGACCCGAAACCCGGUGAUCUAGCCAUGGGCAGGUUGAAGGUUGGGUAACACUAACUGGAGGACCGAACCGACUAAUGUUGAAAAAUUAGCGGAUGACUUGUGGCUGGGGGUGAAAGGCCAAUCAAACCGGGAGAUAGCUGGUUCUCCCCGAAAGCUAUUUAGGUAGCGCCUCGUGAAUUCAUCUUCGGGGGUAGAGCACUGUUUCGGCUAGGGGGUCAUCCCGACUUACCAACCCGAUGCAAACUACGAAUACCGAAGAAUGUUAUCACGGGAGACACACGACGGGUGCUAACGUCCGUCGUGAAGAGGGAAACAACCCAGACCGCCAGCUAAGGUCCCAAAGUCAUGGUUAAGUGGGAAACGAUGUGGGAAGGCACAGACAGCCAGGAUGUUGGCUUAGAAGCAGCCAUCAUUUAAAGAAAGCGUAAUAGCUCACUGGUCGAGUCGGCCUGCGCGGAAGAUGUAACGGGGCUAAACCAUGCACCGAAGCUGCGGCAGCGACACUAUGUGUUGUUGGGUAGGGGAGCGUUCUGUAAGCCUGCGAAGGUGACCUGUGAGGGUUGCUGGAGGUAUCAGAAGUGCGAAUGCUGACAUAAGUAACGAUAAAGCGGGUGAAAAGCCCGCUCGCCGGAAGACCAAGGGUUCCUGUCCAACGUUAAUCGGGGCAGGGUGAGUCGACCCCUAAGGCGAGGCCGAAAGGCGUAGUCGAUGGGAAACAGGUUAAUAUUCCUGUACUUGGUGUUACUGCGAAGGGGGGACGGAGAAGGCUAUGUUAGCCGGGCGACGGUUGUCCCGGUUUAAGCAUGUAGGCUGGUUGUCCAGGCAAAUCCGGAUAAUCAAGGCUGAGGUGUGAUGACGAGGCACUACGGUGCUGAAGUAACAAAUGCCCUGCUUCCAGGAAAAGCCUCUAAGCAUCAGGUAACAUCAAAUCGUACCCCAAACCGACACAGGUGGUCAGGUAGAGAAUACCAAGGCGCUUGAGAGAACUCGGGUGAAGGAACUAGGCAAAAUGGUGCCGUAACUUCGGGAGAAGGCACGCUGGUGUGUAGGUGAAGUCCCUGCGGAUGGAGCUGAGACCAGUCGAAGAUACCAGCUGGCUGCAACUGUUUAUUAAAAACACAGCACUGUGCAAACACGAAAGUGGACGUAUACGGUGUGACGCCUGCCCGGUGCCGGAAGGUUAAUUGAUGGGGUUAUCCGUAAGGAGAAGCUCUUGAUCGAAGCCCCGGUAAACGGCGGCCGUAACUAUAACGGUCCUAAGGUAGCGAAAUUCCUUGUCGGGUAAGUUCCGACCUGCACGAAUGGCGUAAUGAUGGCCAGGCUGUCUCCACCCGAGACUCAGUGAAAUUGAACUCGCUGUGAAGAUGCAGUGUACCCGCGGCAAGACGGAAAGACCCCGUGAACCUUUACUAUAGCUUGACACUGAACAUUGAGCCUUGAUGUGUAGGAUAGGUGGGAGGCUUUGAAGCGUGGACGCCAGUCUGCGUGGAGCCAACCUUGAAAUACCACCCUUUAAUGUUUGAUGUUCUAACGUUGGCCCCUGACCGGGGUUGCGGACAGUGUCUGGUGGGUAGUUUGACUGGGGCGGUCUCCUCCCCAAAGCGUAACGGAGGAGCACGAAGGUUAGCUAAUCCUGGUCGGACAUCAGGAGGUUAGUGCAAUGGCAUAAGCUAGCUUGACUGCGAGCGUGACGGCGCGAGCAGGUGCGAAAGCAGGUCAUAGUGAUCCGGUGGUUCUGAAUGGAAGGGCCAUCGCUCAACGGAUAAAAGGUACUCCGGGGAUAACAGGCUGAUACCGCCCAAGAGUUCAUAUCGACGGCGGUGUUUGGCACCUCGAUGUCGGCUCAUCACAUCCUGGGGCUGAAGUAGGUCCCAAGGGUAUGGCUGUUCGCCAUUUAAAGUGGUACGCGAGCUGGGUUUAGAACGUCGUGAGACAGUUCGGUCCCUAUCUGCCGUGGGCGCUGGAGAAUUGAGGGGGGCUGCUCCUAGUACGAGAGGACCGGAGUGGACGCAUCACUGGUGUUCGGGUUGUCAUGCCAAUGGCACUGCCCGGUAGCUAAAUGCGGAAGAGAUAAGUGCUGAAAGCAUCUAAGCACGAAACUUGCCCCGAGAUGAGUUCUCCCUGAGACUAUAAGUCUCCUGAAGGAACGUUAAAGACGAUGACGUUGAUAGGCCGGGUGUGUAAGCGCAGCGAUGCGUUGAGCUAACCGGUACUAAUGAACCGUGAGGCUUAACCUU
rnacentral:rRNA from 1 species